AAAAAAAAAAUAUCCAUCUAUAAUGUCUACUAAGGUUCAAAGAAGCUUAGGAGAAGGUGGUCAUGGUUAAUUAAUGAAACAACAAGAGGAUUGCUACCAGCCUCCAGCCUGCUUAGGAUGCCUCUAAGGCUGGAAGAAUGAGAUCCUGAUGAUAGUCAUUCAUGGUCCUCUCUUCUUACAAGAGUGCACCUUGCUGCUGUGUCAUUGAAAAUCGUGGAUGCUGUGUCCUCAUAUAAUAGAAGAACUACUAGAAGGGCAGAAUGUCCUGGCAGGUUCCCUCUAAUGUAUUUAUAUCGGCUGUUAAUCCCAUUACUGAGGGCAGAGCCUAAACAUCCUAACCAACUUAAACUAGCACCUGUAGCAGAUGGACCCAGGAAAGAAGCCUGAAAGACCUAACCAAUUCUGUACUCUACAGUAAGGCUCCCCUUGAAUAAAUCAGAACACAGAUGGGAAGCAAGGGACCCUGAGCACAGACUUACAACUGUGAUUCUUCAGCAGCAGGUUUGUGAGAAAAAAAAAAAAAAAAAACUCUUCCAAGAGUUCCACUGGACAUCUAAGCUUCUGAAAAAAUACCCCUUCUCUAUGAUGGAGAUAUCUCAUGUAUCAAGGGAGUGGAAACAUAGUUGCAUAAGAAGACUGUUUCAAGAACCAAAUUCCAGUCAUGGAGUUUAGAGGUAAGUUUAAUGCUCUUACCUCUGAACCAUUUCCCCAGCCUUAAAUUUAUCCUCCUUUAAAGAUUAGAAUCCAAUGGCAUUAAACAUCUGUCGCGUUUGCUAUAUAGACACCAUCACCAUCCAUCUCUAGAGAAUUCCAGGCUCAUGAAAACUAAAUGUAGUUGCUAUAGUUGAUAACUGUACAGGAAUAUAAUGCCUAAUUACAUGACAAAAUAUGUAUUACAAUACAACUGUCUUGUAUAAUGAUGAAGUCAAGAGGAGAUAUUUCCCUCAGAUUUUAAAUAUGAAAACAAUUUCUUAGGACUAAUCUGAUCAUGGAUUCUUUAUGAGAGUUGCUAUUAGGUAUGGGGCCUUGGAAAGAGUAGACAGGAACCUAGAAUAACUGUUUCCUAAGAGGUUUCAUCCAGGACCCAGUGGAAACAAAUGAAGAGAUCCACAGCCAAACAUCAGGUAGAGAACAGGGAGUCUUUUAGAAGAGUCUGGGUUAAAACUGAGUGGGCUGGAGGGGUCAAGGACACCACAAAAGACCAACAGAAUCAGCUAACCUGGGUCUAUGGGGGCUUACAGAAACUGAACUGCCAACCAAAGAGCAUAUAAGGGCUGGACCUAAGUCCCCUACACAUUUGUAGCAGAUGUACAGCUUGGUCUUCAUGUGGGUACUCUAAGAAUUGGGGUGGGGCCUACCUGGACUACCUGGUUGGAUCUCAGUGGGAGAGAAAGUGCAUAGUCCUGCUGAUACUAGAUGUCCCAAGAUGGAGUGGUACGGGGGGGGGGCUUCCCUCCCUCAGAGAAGGAGAGAGAGUAAAGGGUAGAGGGAUUUGUGAGGGUGGUAAUAGGAAGAGAGGAGGGAGGAGAGUUCAGUCUGGAUGUAUACAUCAAGGCAAUCUCUGACUCAAACUAGGAGAUCUAAUGUGGGGCAAUGGGCUAUGUGCAGAUAGCCUGGUCUCCAGUGGAGCUAAGGUCUUGAACCCCUGUAGUACCUUUGGGUGAUAAUUUACACCUACAUGGGAUGGUAGGCAUUCCCUCAUGUCUCCUGGAACCCUGGCUCCUGUUGAAGUUACU